rnacentral:piRNA from 1 species
UUGCCAGAAAAAAAUUGGAAA